GGGUAGCUACGUAUGGAUGUGAUAAACGCUGAAAGCAUCUAAGUGUGAAACACACCUCGAGAUGAGAUUUCCCAUUCCUUUAUGGAAGUAAGACCCCUGAAAGAUGAUCAGGUAGAUAGGUUAGAAGUGGCAGUGCGGUGACGCAUGAAGCGGACUAAUACUAAUCGGUCGAGGACUUAACCAA
rnacentral:rRNA from 1 species